rnacentral:rRNA from 1 species
CAGUUCGGAUUGUAGUCUGCAACCCGACUACAUGAAGCUGGAAUCGCUAGUAAUCGCGGAUCAGAAUGCCGCGGUGAAUACGUUCCCGGGUCUUGUACACACCGCCCGUCACACCAUGGGAGUCGGAAAUGCCCGAAGUCUGUGACCCAACCUACGGGAGGGAGCAGCCGAAGGCAGGUCGGAUGACUGGGGUGAAGUCGUAACAAGGUACC